rnacentral:tRNA from 1 species
GGGACUGUGGCUCAGGGGAAAAUCAUCUUCUUGGAAUGUAGAAGACCUCAGGUUCAAUCUCUAGCAUUUCCA